UCAUGGAAAUUUUGAGGGAAUAGAUAAUAGGAAUUUUUCACACUUGGGACUUAACUUAAAAUAAAUCUAUAUUAUAAGAAAUAUUUUUUUUAUAAGGGAAAUAACAAUGAAAAGAAAGAUACAUACUUGAAAAAAAGAAAAAGGAGGAUAGAAAGAACACGGUUUUCCCCCCCAUACUUAAAUGAAACAUUGUCCCCAAUGUUUCAAAGAAAACAAAAGAUAAAUAAAAAAAGGAAAAAGAAACUAAAGUUAAUGCUGCCUGCCGCCUCUUGUUCUUGGACCUGGUGAUCGUUGAUGUACUUCUAAGUUGUCAAAUCUGCUGGACAACUCAGUGAACCGCUGGUCGGUGAUGGCAUU
rnacentral:lncRNA from 1 species